rnacentral:rRNA from 1 species
UGGACCCUACGGGAGGCAGCAGUAGGGAAUAUUGCUCAAUGGGGGAAACCCUGAAGCAGCAACGCCGCGUGGAGGAUGAAGGUUUUCGGAUUGUAAACUCCUUUUAUUAGAGAAGAUAAUGACGGUAUCUAACGAAUAAGCACCGGCUAACUCCGUGCCAGCAGCCGCGGUAAUACGGAGGGUGCAAGCGUUACUCGGAAUCACUGGGCGUAAAGAGCGCGUAGGCGGGAUAGCAAGUCAGAUGUGAAAUCCUAUGGCUUAACCAUAGAACUGCAUUUGAAACUGUUAUUGUAUGGUAUG